AGCAGCGAGUGACUAAUAUAUUAUCAGGCAAUUACUGCCAACCUAAGUGCGCAGAGCCGUGUGUGGAGGUAAAGUUUGAGGACGAAAAAYAAGGAAAAAUUCAGGUGUUGGCUUCACCUUUGAUACGCCUUACUAAUAAACACGAUGCAACAAUCGAAGAGAUAGGUACCCCAGAGAAAGUCAUUGCUUCUCUUGGCCCUUUUGUCACCGGAAAUUCAUGUGAUCCCGAUGAACUACUCGAGACUUUUGUCGAGAAAAUCGGUAACCAAACUGUAUGAUCUUGUUUUCUCGUAUAGUGGAUUCAUGAUAGAGUGAUUUUGCCAUUAGUUGUUCUUACUCAUUUUCAGUUUCCAUGUUUAUGACUGAUGUUUUGGAAACUUAAUCGCGCAGUACUAUAAAUAUGUUCUGGGGGAGACUCCAUUUGCUCUCACGGGAUCACACAAUCUUGCUAAGGCGACAGCGAAAUGAAGCACGGUCGUCCUUUUUG
rnacentral:sRNA from 1 species